UGAACUGAGACCUCAAGUGCCGGCCCUGAU
rnacentral:piRNA from 1 species